GCCGACGCUGGUUCUGUAAAGGGUUGGAUCCGAUGCCUCUGGAAGGCUACUAUAGCCUCUCCUUCCCAAGUCUAUUGGGAAGUUGGGAACGUCCGCGACGUACAGAAUGGUAACGUGUCAUCUAGAUAUCCUAGCUUGGGUAUACGGCGCGACCCAACCCCUUGGGCGGAUGGGCGGCAAGUCUAAAUUGAGGGGU
rnacentral:ribozyme from 1 species